GCUCUCGCUGUCCUCAGUGUGCCAAGGAACAGAGGCAAGCAGGUAUCUUCCGGGCAGUCUCUGGAUUUGAAUCAAGAUUUGACGUACCUUGAGGAGGUUUGUAGCCAAAGUUUGGAAAGAGCAGCACCGAAGAACUCGGCAACGUCUCAGCGUCCACGUCCCACCGGCGAUGGAUUUUGUCACCUUGUCUUCCAAAAGAUAAGUGUUGGGCCCUGUAGUUGGGGGGAGAGAAAAAACCUUUACUCUCACAGGGCGCAAUUUGAUGUUAGCUUAGCGGAGCAGUCUGUAGCGGAACAGGUCCCUUGGAAGUAAAGGGAGAGGGUUUCUCCUGAGCCUCACCAGAGCCUUUGCCGGGCAGGGCAGUUCCGACCCGUCUCCGCGUUCUCGCGAACUUUGCGUCGUCAGCCUUCUUCGACCCUCGACGUCGUCGCGGAUCCUUCUCCCGAGGAGCUCGCCUUCAGGUCCGGAGCUAUAGCCACCAUCACCCGCCAGUCUUUGCUUCCUUCUCUAGGCCCACUGAGCCUCUCGAGCAUCCUCUUAACUGCUUUGGCAGCAACUCCGUUUAAGGUGUCGUUUCAUCAAGCACUCUUGCCAUAGGGUUCGCUUUCCUUUGGCAUCUUUGGCCUCUGGCUCAUCUUGCACUAGAAAUCUUGAGUCCAUAAGGUGAAACUGCCAGGCGGUUUC